UGNGGAUUAGUGAUGCCUAUGGAUUGUG
rnacentral:piRNA from 1 species